UACGUAGGGUGCGAGCGUUAAUCGGAAUUACUGGGCGUAAAGCGUGCGUAGGCGGUUCGUUAAGUUCGUUGUGAAAGCCCCGGGCUCAACCUGGGAACUGCAAUGGAAACUGGCGGGCUUGAGUGUGGCAGAGGGGGGUGGAAUUCCGCGUGUAGCAGUGAAAUGCGUAGAGAUGUGGAGGAACACCGAUGGCGAAGGCAGCCCCCUGGGCUAACACUGACGCUCAGGCACGAAAGCGUGGGGAGCAAACAGG
rnacentral:rRNA from 1 species